rnacentral:lncRNA from 1 species
GUGUGUUGAUUCUUGUUUCUGGUUUCCUUCUCCUCGAUAGAGUUCCGCAAGCAUGUCGGACUGUGAGAAUCCGUUCUACUACGUUAGUUCGUCUGCUUCAUGCAUUCGUUCUUCUUCCAAGCGGGAUCACAUGAAAGAUGACCAUUUCCCUAGAUACCAUUACUAUCAAUGCCAUGCUAGUUGUCUCGUUUCUUUCACUAUGUCUCGCUGCCUACCACUUAAAUGUCAACCUCGCAACAUUGCCAUGAAAAACAUCUAACCUUUUCCACAACCCACCAAACCAUUGUUUGGCUAUGUUACCGCUUGCUCAGCCUUCUUAUAGCAUUGUGUGACAGCCCCAAUGCAAUUCUCCCCCCUUGUAAUCUUUCCUUGUAAGGCAACCUUGUGAUGUUAUGUUAAG